rnacentral:rRNA from 1 species
UACAAAGGGGGCUAGCGUUGUUCGGAAUUACUGGGCGUAAAGCGCGUGUAGGCGGGUCUUUUAAGUCAGGGGUGAAAUGCCAAGGCUCAACCUUGGAACUGCCUUUGAUACUGGAGACCUUGAGUCCGGGAGAGGUGAGUGGAAUUGCGAGUGUAGAGGUGAAAUUCGUAGGUAUUCGCAAGAACACCAGUGGCGAAAGGCGGCUCACUGGCCCGGAACUGACGCUGAGAUGCGAAAGCGUGGGGGAGCA